GACAGAGGUGCCAAGCGUUAGGCGGAAUCACUGGGCUUAAAGCGUGUGUAGGCGGACUUGUAAGUACCUUGUGAAAUCCCACGGCUCACCCGUGGAACUGCUGGGUAUACUGCGAGUCUUGAGCCACUUAGGGGCUGUCGGAACAGGCGGUGGAGCGGUGAAAUGCGUAGAUAUCGCCUGGAACGCCAAAGGUGAAAACAGACAGCUGGGAGUGUGCUGACGCUGAGACACGAAAGCCAGGGGAGCGAACAGG
rnacentral:rRNA from 1 species